rnacentral:snoRNA from 1 species
CCUUCUAUCUUGGCAUCCCUGUGUUGACUCUGUACGCAUUGGGUGUAUGAAUGAAGGGAAAUCAAAUUGAUGCUGACCAGCCUUCGGUGCCGGGGUUUGACAGUACCCCACUGCCAUCCUCUAGCAGCAUUACAAAA